GGAGGUGUUUCCUUUGGCUGGUAC
rnacentral:siRNA from 1 species